GGGCUUGUAGCUCAGUUGGUAGAGCACCGCACUCUUAAUGCGGGUGUCGGGGGUCCAAAUCCCCUCAGGCCCA
rnacentral:tRNA from 1 species